rnacentral:lncRNA from 1 species
GAUUUAUUCUGGGAGAUUUCUUCCAGAAUAAGUAAAAUGAGCAAUCACAAAAUUCUUUCAAAAGAGGGUUUUAAACAUGGUAUUUUUAGGUGAUAUUUUACUCAUUAUACAAGUUCAAAGUAUCUUGUGAUAUUUCAAAAUAUUAAUUGAUAUCUCAUUGAAUCAUCUACCGCAUGAGAUAGGUAAUUUUAAGAUCAAAAUAUCAAAAGAAUAUGUCAAAUAUUAAAAACUAUAUUGUUCACCUCAACUUCCUUUCAUAUUUGAAUCCAUACUAAGAGAUAAUAAAGUUUGAAUUAAGAAGUAAUAUCAAGGGAUAAUGUCAAGGAUAUGAAUCUCAAAGAAAAAGAAUCCUCGAUAUACUCUUGUGUCACUGAAGAGAACUAGAAAGUCACUCAAAAGAUAAUGUAAUAUUAACUAGAAUAGCUAUUUCCAAAAACAAAAAGACUAGAAAGUCUUAAACAAGACUAAAGAUUAGAAUAGCAUUGACAAGAGUGAAGAAGGCUUCACUUUUGUCUCUAUAUAUACUCUUCACUAAUAGCCAUGUGGCG